UACAGAGGGUGCGAGCGUUAAUCGGAUUUACUGGGCGUAAAGCGUGCGUAGGCGGCUGAUUAAGUCGGAUGUGAAAUCCCCGAGCUUAACUUGGGAAUUGCAUUCGAUACUGUUAAGCUAGAGUAUGGGAGAGGAUGGUAGAAUUCCAGGUGUAGCGGUGAAAUGCGUAGAGAUCUGGAGGAAUACCGAUGGCGAAGGCAGCCAUCUGGCCUAAUACUGACGCUGAGGUACGAAAGCGUGGGGAUCAAACAGG
rnacentral:rRNA from 1 species